UGGGGAAUAUUGCACAAUGGGCGCAAGCCUGAUGCAGCCAUGCCGCGUGUAUGAAGAAGGCCUUCGGGUUGUAAAGUACUUUCAGCGGGGAGGAAGGGAGUAAAGUUAAUACCUUUGCUCAUUGACGUUACCCGCAGAAGAAGCACCGGCUAACUCCGUGCCAGCAGCCGCGGUAAUACGGAGGGUGCAAGCGUUAAUCGGAAUUACUGGGCGUAAAGCGCACGCAGGCGGUUUGUUAAGUCAGAUGUGAAAUCCCCGGGCUCAACCUGGGAACUGCAUCUGAUACAGGCAAGCUUGAGUGUCGUAGAGGGGGGUAGAAUUCCAGGUGUAGCGGUGAAAUGCGUAGAGAUCUGGAGGAAUACCGGUGGCGAAGGCGGCCCCCUGGACGAAGACUGACGCUCAGGUGCGAAAGCGUGGGGAGCAAACAGG
rnacentral:rRNA from 1 species